UACGUAGGGUGCGAGCGUUAAUCGGAAUUACUGGGCGUAAAGGGUGCGCAGGCGGCGUCGCAAGUCAGGCGUGAAAUCCCCGGGCUUAACCUGGGAACUGCAUCUGUGACUGCAUUGCUGGAGUGCGGCAGAGGGGGAUGGAAUUCCGCGUGUAGCAGUGAAAUGCGUAGAUAUGCGGAGGAACACCGAUGGCGAAGGCAAUCCCCUGGGCCUGCACUGACGCUCAUGCACGAAAGCGUGGGGAGCAAACAGG
rnacentral:rRNA from 1 species